rnacentral:tRNA from 1 species
GCCGAAGUGGCGGAAUGGCAGACGCACGUGACUCAAAAUCACGCGUCCUCUGGGCGUGUGGGUUCGACUCCCACCUUCGGCACCA